AUGUUAUGAACCAGCACUCUUUAUGUGUUCUGUCCAUUGUGGUCUGUGAAGGUGUUCUCUUGUUUCCCCCAAUUUUGCAUGCUCUUGUUUUCGCACACUUUUCUAGAAUGUGUCAUUUUUGGUGAAAAUCUAUGAAGAUCUGUGCCACAAGAUGUCAAAAGGCCAAGAAAUGGAGAAUCUCGCUUAAGCCAAAUGUUAUUCGCUUAAGCGAAAUUAUAUGGCAGAGGGUAUCAAUUCUGGAAGACAAUCUCGCUUAAGUCGAAUUCUUUCUCGCUUAAGCGAACCAUUCAGUGGCAUAGAAGGAAAGUGAACCCUCGCUUAAGCGAGACUUAUGCUCGCUUAAGCGAGAAGAGUACUUCAGUGUUAAAAAAAGGCUCUCGCUUAAGCGAAUCUGAAGCUCGCUUAAGCGAGCCAAACCGCCUUAGACCCUUAUAAAAGGCCAGAACACGAUUUUUCUGGGGAUCUCUUCGAUUCUUCACCAUUUUUCCUCCCUAAAACAUUCAGAGGAGGCUGGGCUUCAUGGAGGAAUGGUCCUUGAGCUAGGAAUUGAUAGAGUGGAGCUUUGGAGCAUGGUGACAACCUCUUGGUGGCUAUGGAAAGCUUGAGAAAGUUUCCAUCGCCGUGGAUUCGUCUCCGUUCUUCGGGUUUCAUCUCUUCCUUUCUUAUCUCUUGUAUAUGUUCUUUUCUAUUUUUGUAUCUAGAAUGUUAUAGCUUAGUUCUUUGAUUGUUGUAAACUCAAUUAUUGAUGUAAAUGGAAAUCUUUCAUGUAUGGUGUUUCUCUUUGUACUUCAUGCUUCUAACCAAUCAAUUGAUAAUCAAAAGAGCUUCACUAAUUUAUAAAUAGAUCGAGAGGUUGAUAUGAGUUGGUGUAUGCUUAGAUCAAUGAAAGUAGAAUGCCUAUGUCUUAGGUCACGCCGUGUGUUAAAGUUUUGCUUUCUACACUUCAAGUAUCAUUGAUUUGUGUUAGAUUUUUAUGGACUAACAUGAGAUCGGGAGAUAAUUGCGGGUCCGGUUCAAGAGAGAAACCACUCAAUGAACUUGUUGUCUUAUGGUGAGAUUAUCUUAGGUAGGAACAAUAGUGGGCUUCCACAUGACAGGUGGGGUUUUGAGUUCUAACAGGAGUUUCCGGGGUGACAACGGAGAUUCACAAGCCUAGGGUACCUUGUCUUAGGAUAAAUUUGUUAUUGGGAAUGUCUUUGAGAGAGAAUUUGAGUUUUAAUGUUCCUUUUGGUUUUCUAGAUGGUAAGGGAUUACGUCUAGGAAUUCCAACUGAUAGAUUCACCUAGGCUAGGGAUAGUUAGGUGGAUAGCUCUCGACAUCAUAAAUGAAAUGUACCUUUACAUAAGUGAUUGAGUGGAAACAAUUAGAGGAUUAUGUGAAUGCAUUCUAAAUAUGUUUUCUUCUUCGUUGUCUCUGUAAACUUUCUUUUACCGCUUUCUUUAUAUUGAAAAUCACAAAAACAAUUUAUCAAACAUCUUUGUAUCCGCUCAAAUCAAUGUUUAACUGGUGGAACUGAUGUUCACACAAUCCCUGAGGACGAUAAACCCGUAUCUGCUUUGCUAUGAUUGAAUCAUAAAUGUUUAGCCAAAAGCAGUACAAACAAUGAGGAAAAAACCUUUAUCAAAUUUGGCGCCGUUGCCGGGGAUUGUGUUUUGAAAUGUUGGUGAAACUAGUGGAAUGUUGAUUUGAGUUGUAUAUAGUGUACAUAUUCUAUGUUUCAUUAUUAUGUGUCAAUUUCAUUGAUUUGUUCUUGUUCUUAAUGCUUGUUGUAGCUUGAUCACCUAUAACAUGAUAUGAGAUUUAGAACUUUGUAAAUCAUACCUAGAAUGAAUCAACUAUUGAAUCUAAUCCCAUUUAGGUCCAUUAGUCAUGAAAUGACGAUUUUGAUACAUAGGUUUGUUGUAUAUAUGUCAAUUGUGCAUAGUUGUUGUUUUCUUAUUCUUGUUUUAUUGUUUUUGUUUUUAAAUUUCCUAAGGAUUCGUCACUUUUGGUUCUUGAGUGAUCUUUUGCAAGUUUUCAUGAUGAAUAUCCUCUUUUGAGUUAUUUGAAUCGCUAUAUAACCAUAAGUUUUGGAAACCAUGAGUUUUUGUGUGUUUUAGAACCAGUGUAGUGAUUUUGUUAACUUGUACCAAAAUCUGAGUUUUGAUGAGCUUCACAAGUGUUAUUUAGCAUAUUGAGAUUGUUCAAUGAGUUUGGAAGAAAUAAAUAUGAUAAAAUCAAAAUUUAGGGGUGUGACUUGUUGAAUUUGCAUGUAGAAUGAAAUAUGAAUUGGAUUAUGUGCUUUGAUGCUAACAAUCUGCAAUUGAGACUUGAGACAUGUCCAAAGAGUGUUUUUCAUGCAUAUGGAAUGAUGAAAAGAAUGUAUGCUAAGUUUAGCUCAUUUUGAGGUAUGAGGUUGUAUGAAUUUUGUGAAGAAGUAAGUCCCUUUUGUAUACUUCUGCAUAAUUAUGCAGGUUGCUUCCCAUAACUCUUGAAUUUUAACAUGUUUAUUUAAUAUAAGUGUUGGUUUGAUGUAAUUGUGUCUUUGAAUUAUGUAUGUGUAGUUUGGUAUCCUAGUGUUUAGGUUUGUUGUGUUUCAAGUUCAUGUCAUCAAAGUUUUAGUACUUAGGAAGUGAUAUUUUGAUAUUGUAGAUUGAGCGCUUGAAUUUGUGAUUUUAAGUUAUCCACAUAUUUCCCUUGAUGUAUAUAGAAUGUUUGCUCAUCUAUAAGGCCUAGAAAGUGAAAUGAUUAAGUAUGGCACGUGUGAAAAUUGCAUGCAAAUUAACUUGAAUUGAAUCUUAUGUUCUUAAUGACAACAUGUUUAAUUUGAAGCUUCUCUCAAGUUUAGAUUGAUGUUUCACAUGCAAUUGAAUGAAUUUGAAGCUUGAAUUAUGAUGGAAAUGGAAAUUGGGGGAUGAGGUUAUAAAAAGAUGGUAAUUUUCCCUGUUAUGUACUGUCAAAAUUAUGCAGAAGUUUAGUGAGUCUCGCUUAAGCGAAGACUUAUCUGGCUUAAGUGAGACCUGUGUAAGAAAGAUCAGUGAUUCUGUCAAAGAUUUUCGCUUAAGCGAGAUUCUGUUAGCUUAAGCGAAAUUGACUAAGUUUGGCUCUGUGAAGAUUUUGGCUUAAGCAAAAAUGACCAUGGCUUAAGCGAGAACUACCCCAGAAAAGUUUUCACCUAAGUUUUAAAUAUUUCUUAAGAGAGAUGUUGGUUUGUUCAAGAAAACAUUGCACAACAUUUUUAUCAUAUACACCAUUCAUUUGCUCAAAAUGAAACACCCCACUCUUGCACAACACACUCAUUUCUCAAGAGAAAACUUCUUUUAUACUCUUGCACAUACUCACUUCACUCACACAAUCACUUCACGUCACUUGCACAAGCACUCACGCACACACUCAUUAAAAUCAAUUUAAUUUCUCCCACUCAGUAAUACUAGCACACAAUAAGUAUUCAAACACUACAACUGCCUAUUAAGACCAUUGAGCUUUUCAAAUCGAUCCAGGAAUCUUUUGUUGCUGGUAUUGUUUGACCUGAGGACAGUCCAAUUUUCUCGGAGGGUGUGAGAAGUUUGAUGAGCAAUCCUGAACUGAAAGCAAAGUAUCACGAGGGAGUACUUUUUGUCCUUCUUUCAUUUGUUUUUAAUUUCUUUUUAGUACAUUAGUAUGUGAAUAAUUAACACUUUGUGAUGAAUUUCAUAGAUAAAAUGACUGAUUUUCUAAGGCAUGGUUGAUGAAAUAUCAAUUGAAUUGCAUGAUAUGUGUUAAAAUGUGAAUUGAAUUGUUUGAUUCCAUGAUCUAACUAGUGUUUGCACUAAAAGAUAGCAUAAUUUGAUAUGAUUGUAUAAUUCACAUGUAAUUCAUAGGCAUAACAAGAAAUUUUUGAAAAUCAGGGACUACUUUGAACCUAAGCCAUGUGAGGGAGUGAAGCCUAUACACUUGUGAGCUGAGAGAAUUCUCACUGUGUUACAUGAUUGGUUUUGUUUGAGUCUCCAAAUUAUCAUUGUUGUAUGGAAUUUCUUGGAAAUGAUCAAGGCAUUUUUUUUGUUCUGCAUAUAUAUCUACUUAGCCAAAUAGCCUACAUUUUUCAUUUAAAUUCCAUUGUUUCCCCUUUGAGCCUAAAAAUGUGACUUCUUCUUGUUUAUAACCUUGAGCUUAAAAAGAAAGACAAUGAUCUCACAUAAGCUGAAUAGGUUAAGAGAGCAUUUGUUCAUGAUAUGGUUGUAUUCAAGUUGGGGGGAGAAGGAUAAUAGUGUUUUUGUGUGGUUUGUGUAUCAAUCUGUUUGUACAUACUUGAAAAUGAAAACAAAAGUAUGAAAAAGAAGAAAAGAAAAAAAAAAGAGAAAGAAAAAAAGAAAAGAAAAUAAGAGAGAUUGACAAAGAAAGAAAAGAAAGGGUGAGCAUAAUUGAAAAAGGUGAAUGAGAGAGUUGGUAAGAGCAUGAGAGUGAUUUAUUAUUUGUGAAUGGUUUGAACUGUGAUUGCUCUCUUAGCUUGUUGAGUAUCUUGCAUAUCCAGAAAAACCAAAUUUCUUUGAAGCCUAACCACAUUACAACCCUCAAAGACCAUAGAGAUCCUUGAUCGAACAUUCAGCCUUGAUAACUGCGGAGAUAGGAAACAAAAUUGAUUUAUGUGAUUCAGUGAGUGAAAUGAGUGAAACACUCGCCUUACUUUGAACAUAAUGAAAUGUUGAGUGAAUGAGUAUCCCUGGUUGGAAAGGAAUGAAUUGUAUGUUUAUUGAUUUUCAUAGUGGAUGUGCAUUUGUAUCACUGUUAUGCUUUCUUUUGUGGGCAUCACAUCUCUGACUUGGAUCACUUAUUUGAAAAAUAGAGAAAUCAUGCAGUUUGAGCUUUAUUGAUUCAGAUACCAUGUCUGCUUGAAUGAAAUUCAUUACCUUUUGUUUGAGGGCAAACAAAGUGUUAAGUUGGGGGGAGUUGAUAAGUGACAAUUUUACGUGUUUUUAAAUAUAAUUUUAAGCACUUAUUAGACCUUUAUGCUUGGAUUGUUGAUUAUUUUAUCCCCAUAAGUAGUUAAUUUAGUAAAUAGUUAAGUUUAGUAUAUAAAUAGAGUAAAUAUUAUACUUUCACAUUUAAUCUUUUAUUUUCAAUGAUAGGUGAAAAUCUAUGAAGAUCUGUGCCACAAGAUGUCAAAAGGCCAAGAAAUGGAGAAUCUCGCUUAAGCCAAAUGUUAUUCGCUUAAGCGAAAUUAUAUGGCAGAGGGUAUCAAUUCUGGAAGACAAUCUCGCUUAAGUCGAAUUCUUUCUCGCUUAAGCGAACCAUUCAGUGGCAUAGAAGAAAAGUGAACCCUCGCUUAAGCGAGACUUAUGCUCGCUUAAGCGAGAAGAGUACUUCAGUGUUAAAAAAAGGCUCUCGCUUAAGCGAAUCUGAAGCUCGCUUAAGCGAGCCAAACCGCCUUAGACCCUUAUAAAAGGCCAGAACACGAUUUUUCUGGGGAUCUCUUCGAUUCUUCACCAUUUUUCCUCCCUAAAACAUUCAGAGGAGGCUGGGCUUCAUGGAGGAAGGGUCCCUGAGCUAGGAAUUGAUAGAGUGGAGCUUUGGAGCAUGGUGACAACCUCUUGGUGGCUAUGGAAAGCUUGAGAAAGUUUCCAUCGCCGUGGAUUCGUCUCCGUUCUUCGGGUUUCAUCACUUCCUUUCUUAUCUCUUGUAUAUGUUCUUUUCUAUUUUUGUAUCUAGAAUGUUAUAGCUUAGUUCUUUGAUUGUUGUAAACUCAAUUAUUGAUGUAAAUGGAAAUCUUUCAUGUAUGGUGUUUC